rnacentral:lncRNA from 1 species
CACCUUAGGAUUGAUCAGACGGUCUAUAAAAUUUUAAGGCAGGGGGAGACUUUCGCUGAUUAAACUCGGACAAUCUGUAUUCUUUCUUUUGUUCGACCCAUUCUAACUUCUCACCGUUCCGCCGCCUUGUGCUGCCGUUGUCCUCUCGGCGCUAGUAUUCAGUUCACCACGGCUAUUGUCCCCUUCGCCGUCAUCUUUUACAAUGGUAGAACUUGAUUGCUAUUUCCCUUAAUGCUCAGUUGAAAUGCAUAGGUUUGUUUGUUGAGUUUUGCUGCUGUUACUGGUUUUGUUUUAUUUUCUGUUUUGAUGUUCCUGUCAUGUUUAGCCUUCAAGAAUUGUGAUUCUCAGAUCUGGUCUAGAAUUAAAGAAGAAUUGAAAUAGGAAGACAGUGGUAACAGUGGUGAUCGGAACAACGACAAACGACGGCGGCGAGUAAAAAGCAUACAUAUUUUUCUCUUACACGUGGCAUGAUCACGAGCGUUCAAUCGAUCGGACAGACUUGAUUGGGCCAAAGGCAGCUGCCUUUCCCGCCCAAAAAUCACACAAUCCCUGUCAGAUAAUCCAAUUCUGAGUUAUUCGGCACCGCACGACAUACACAAGUGUCAGUAAUAAUCUUCAUCUUCUAUCUUCUCAUCCCUCUCAAAAUCCCAAAAACUAUGAAUCGUGUAUUAUCAUCAUCA